AUACGGAGGGUGCAAGCGUUAUCCGGAUUUAUUGGGUUUAAAGGGUGCGCAGGCGGAAUGAUAAGUCAGUGGUGAAAUCCUACAGCUUAACUGUAGAACUGCCAUUGAUACUGUCAUUCUUGAGUACACUUGAAGUGGGCGGAAUGUAUCAUGUAGCGGUGAAAUGCAUAGAUAUGAUACAGAACUCCGAUAGCGAAGGCAGCUCACUAAAUUGUAACUGACGCUCAGGCACGAAAGCGUGGGGAGCAAACAGGAUUAGAAACCCCAGUAGUCC
rnacentral:rRNA from 1 species